CAAGAACGACCAUCUCGAACCUAUGUGAACUUUGAGGAUGUUGCAGCAUGCAACAUGGGUGUUUUCAAAGGACCUGUGGUAUCCAUCUCCAGGAAACAGAUUGAAAUGGCAGCGGGUGAGCGCAAAAGACAGACAUCAUGGAAAAAAUGGUGCAUGUCCCUGAUGCCAUCUCUUAAUGGAUUAAAACAGACUUGGAGGUACAAGGUGAUAUCACUGAAUACUGUACAGAUCCACCUCUACUGGUAUUUGAUAUGCAAAUGAAAAAGACCAUGUUGCUGUUGGCACAGAACCACAUGGGCUGGGAAGGGCCUCCAGAGGACCUCUACUCACUCUCUCCUCCUCAUCAGUGCAGAUUAACAUCCAUUUCCAUUUUAAUAAUGAUGGUGAAUGCAAUGAGCAGGGCCAGAUGUGCAAAACAAA